ACGCUCGACACCUACGGGAGGCGGCAGUGGGGAAUAUUGCACAAUGGGGGAAACCCUGAUGCAGCGAUGCCGCGUGAAGGAAGAAGUAUCUCGGUAUGUAAACUUCUAUCAGCAGGGAAGAAAAUGACGGUACCUGACUAAGAAGCCCCGGCUAACUACGUGCCGGCAGCCGCGGUAAUCUGAGCGGGCUGGCAAGGC
rnacentral:rRNA from 1 species